rnacentral:lncRNA from 1 species
UUUUGAUUGAUUAUUGUUGGGUUAUCAUCUGUGCUUAAGGCCUUUAUCGUUUAAUUCAUUCGGUAUAUUGAUGUUUGUCAUUAUUGAUAUGGGGAUGUACAGUAAUGACAUGAACUGGUGAGUAAUCUCUUGAUUUUGCAAUACCACCUAGGGAUAGGGGUAGGACGAUCAAUUGUGCUAACUUCUGUUUAUAAUGCGGUAUUAAUUACUAGGAGAGGCUAGGGAUAGCAAGCCGAUAAUUGAUAUUAGGCCCUUUUCGCCGAGGGAUAGGGUUAAGGGGAGGUUAAGAAAGUCGCAUAACAAUUUAAUCAAUCUAAUAAUCAAGGGUAGUAUGUAAGAGAGAGUGGAAUAAAUGAAAUUGUUAGUACCCAACAACAUCCAUCCAUCCAUUGUUUUCACUUGUCAAUUGAAUCAACAUUUAUUUUGCAUGUUAAUAUUUUUUCCACAAAAUCCAAUUUAUUUAAUUUUAUUUUUCAAGUCUU